rnacentral:misc_RNA from 1 species
CAGUUGGUUAGAGCACACGCCUGAUAAGCGUGAGGUCGAUGGUUCGAGUCCAUUUAGGCCCACCAAAAUAUUUAUUUUAAAAAAACAAGCUCUUUGAAAAGUAGAUAAAUUAAGGUUAGAAGA